rnacentral:rRNA from 1 species
AUUGAACGCUGGCGGCAUGCUUUACACAUGCAAGUCGAACGGUAACAGGCCUUCGGGUGCUGUCGAGUGGCGAACGGGUGAGUAAUGCAUCGGAACGUGCCCCGAGCUGGGGGAUAACGCAGCGAAAGCUGUGCUAAUACCGCAUGUGAUCUGAUGAUGAAAGCGGGGGACCAGGCAGCAAUGUUUGGCCUCGCGCCUUUGGAGCGGCCGAUGUCGGAUUAGGUAGUUGGUGGGGUAAAGGCCUACCAAGCCGACGAUCUGUAGCUGGUCUGAGAGGACGACCAGCCACACUGGAACUGAGACACGGCCCAGACUCCUACGGGAGGCAGCAGUGGGGAAUUUUGGACAAUGGGCGAAAGCCUGAUCGAGCAAUGCCGCGUGAGGGAAGAAGGCCUUCGGGUUGUAAACCGCUUUUGUACGGAACGAAAAGGCUCUGGCUAAUACCUGGGGCUGAUGACGGUACCGUAAGAAUAAGCACCGGCUAACUACGUG